rnacentral:rRNA from 1 species
AUGAACGCUGGCGGCGUGCCUAAUACGUGCAAGUCGAGCGAACAGAUGAGGAGCUUGCUCCUCUGACGUUAGCGGCGGACGGGUGAGUAACACGUGGAUAACCUACCUAUAAGACUGGGAUAACUUCGGGAAACCGGAGCUAAUACCGGAUAAUAUAUUGAACCGCAUGGUUCAAUAGUGAAAGACGGUUUUGCUGUCACUUAUAGAUGGAUCCGCGCCGCAUUAGCUAGUUGGUAAGGUAACGGCUUACCAAGGCAACGAUGCGUAGCCGACCUGAGAGGGUGAUCGGCCACACUGGAACUGAGACACGGUCCAGACUCCUACGGGAGGCAGCAGUAGGGAAUCUUCCGCAAUGGGCGAAAGCCUGACGGAGCAACGCCGCGUGAGUGAUGAAGGUCUUCGGAUCGUAAAACUCUGUUAUUAGGGAAGAACAAAUGUGUAAGUAACUAUGCACGUCUUGACGGUACCUAAUCAGAAAGCCACGGCUAACUACGUG